GCAGGAGCAGUAGCUGCACUGUGGUCCCAGGUCCUCAGGAGGCUGAGGCAGGAGGAUCUACAGGAAUUCUGGUCCAUGGUAAGCUGUGCAAAUGGGGUGUCCACACUAAGUACAGCUUCAAUAUGGUGACCUCCCAGGGCAGGGGACUACCAGAGUGCCUAAGCAGGGAUGAACUGGCCCAGGUUGGAAAUGGAGCAGGUGAAAACUCCUGCACUGAUCAGUAGUUGGAUCACCCUGCACGCCAGCUGGGGCAACAUAGAGAGACCCCAUCUCAA
rfam:Otolemur garnettii contig075257, whole genome shotgun sequence.